GAGAGAGAGAUCUGUGCAAUGAGGAAGGGGAGAAGAGGGCAUGACUUCACUGUGGAGGGCGCUCCAGGAGACAGCUCAGGAAUAACAGGAGUCAAACCAAGGCUUCAUCCAUGCUAGGCAAGCGUUCUGUCAUUGAGCUACAUCCCUAGCCUUUUCUAUUGUUGGGGGAUUUUUUUGUUUUUGUUUUUGAGAGAAGGUCUCUCCCAAAAUGCCCAGACUGGCCUCAAACUGUGAUCCUCCUGCCGCAGCCUCUCAAGUCUGUAAUCCCAGGUGUGUGCCAAUGCUCCUGGCUUCCCUCUACUCCCAACCGUGUGCAGAGUCCCUCUGCAGAAAGUGCUCUCUUGGGGCCCAGGGGAGGGGCAAGGAGUGGACACAGAGGCAGGAAUCAGGACAAGUGUCUGAGAAGAGGGAGCAGAGGGUCUUGAGUCUCACAUCUGCUACUCACUAGCUGUGUGCCUUUGGGUGAGUUAUUUUACUUCCUGAGCUUAUUUCUUUGCUUAAAAGUUCCAGGAGUUAACCAAGUGCAGUGGCAUAUACUUGUUGUCCCAGCUACUCAGGAGGCUGAGACAGGAGGAUCCCAAAUUCAAGGAUAGCCUGAAUAACUUAGUGAGACCCUGUCCCUCCAAAAUAAAAAGAACUGGAGCUAUAGCUCAGUGAUACGAGACCUUGGGUUCAAUCCCAGCACCACAAAACAAAACAAAAUUUUCAGGAUUAACUAGGCGUGGUGACACACGUGUAGUCCUGGCUACACAGGAGGCUGAGGUAGCAAGACCACCUGAAUCCAGGAGUUUUGAGGUUCCCUAGGCAACAUAGCAAGACCCAGCUUAAAAAAAAAAGAAAAUGUGGAGAGAGAGGGGGUACAGCUCAGUGCUCAGUGGCAGGGUGCUUACUUACUCAGCACGUGCAAGGCCCUGGAUUCAGUUCUCAGUAGGGGAAUUUUUUUUUUUUUUUUUUUUCCAGAUAAAAGUCUCUGGCUGGGCAUGGUGGUACACGCCUGUAAUCCCAGUGUCUUAGAAGGCUGAGGCAUGAGGAUCACCAGUUCAAAGUCAGUCUCAGCAACUUAUCGAGGAACUAAGCAAUUUAGUGAGACCCUGUCUCUAAAUAAAAUAUAAAAGAGGACUGGGGGUAUGGCUUAGUGGUUAAGUGCUCCUGAGUUCAAUCCCCAGUUUAAAAAAAAAAAAAUCUCUAACAAAAUUGGUGUAAUGAAUUAAGUUAAUACGUGUGAGACAGCACUUUGUAUGUCUGUGCAGGAAUGACUGCUAUUUCAAAGGAGAAGUUUGGGGCGAUUGUGGUGCAGGGGAGCUGGACACUGAGCAGCUAUUGUCAUCAUGCCCAGGGCACAGUGCCAACUAAAACACAGGUUGGAAUUCAUCUCAGCAGCAAAUAACCUUGAGGGUAAGCCCAGAGAGGGAAAGGAGAGAGGAAGUCACAGCUUCCUGUUCGCCCCCUGCAGGGAAUGCUGGGCCUGUGGGGACCUGGGUGGACCUGGACAUGCCUUCAGUUCUUAUUCUGCUCUGUAUUAUUUCGUCCUUCCACCUGUGUCACCCACACUGCCACUUCACCUUUCCCACUCGGAUCUGUGUAGCCAGAGUUCAACAGCACCCCACCCUCUCCUCUAUUCCCCAAACCCUGUUUCAGAGCUGUGGGCCCUGAGACAUGCUGUCACCACACCUCGUCCUGUCUCCCCAUGAUCUCAGUCCCAACUGGAAAAAUGCCCCACUCGGUCAUCACCUUUCAUUGGCCAUCUCUCUGUAUGCAGCAGGAGCUGCACUGGGUAAAGGACAACAUGCAAGGUGGGUAGGUAAAAGAGUGAGGCUUUUUCAAGGAUUCCAACAUAUUCAACAUCUUGUCCUCUGCUGGCUAAUUAAGAUAAUGUUUGGGGAUUUUGUUUUUGUUUUUUCCUUUUUUGCAGUGCUGGGGAUGCCACUCAAGAAGGAUGGGCCAGGCAUUCUGCCCCCCGGUACCGAAGAUUUGUUUGUUUGUUUUUGAUAGCAGGUAUUGAACCCAGGAGUGCUUAACCACUGAACCAUACCCCCAGCCCUUUAAAAUUUUAUUUUAUUUUCAGACAGGGUCUCACUAAGUACUUAGGGCCUCAUUAAAUUGCUGAGGCUGACUUUCAACUCGCAACCCUCCUGCCUCAGCCCCCCAAGCCGCUGGGAUUAUAGGCAUGUACCACUUGGCCUGGCCCAAGAUCAUGUUUGAUGUUUAGUCUUCCUGGGGUGCUGGGGAGCAGAGGGACUCUUCAGGACAAUAAAUC
rnacentral:lncRNA from 1 species